AUCGAUGAAGAACGCAGCGAAAUGCGAUAAGUAAUGUGAAUUGCAGAAUUCAGUGAAUCAUCGAAUCUUUGAACGCACAUUGCGCCCUCUGGUAUUCCGGGGGGCAUGCCUGUUCGAGCGUCAUUACACCCCUCAAGCUCUGCUUGGUAUUGGGUGCCACCUCAGGGUGCACCUCAAAAUCAGUGGCGGUGCCGUCUGGCUUCAAGCGUAGUAAUACUUCUCGCUUCGGGGCUCAGGCGCGUGCUCGCCAUAACCACAAUUUUAUCAAGGUUGACCUCGGAUCAGGUAGGGAUACCCGCUGAACUUAAGCAUAUCAAUAAGCGGAGGAAAAGAAACCAACAGGGAUUGCCUCAGUAACGGCGAGUGAAGCGGCAACAGCUCAAAUUUGAAAUCUGGCCUCACGGUCCGAGUUGUAAUUUGUAGAGGAUGCUUUGGGUGCGGUCCGGUCUAAAUUCCUUGGAACAGGGUAUCAUAGAGGGUGAGAAUCCCGUAUGCGACUGGGUGCCAACCCCGUGUAAAGCUCCUUCGACGAGUCGAGUUGUUUGGGAAUGCAGCUCUAAAUGGGUGGUAAAUUUCAUCUAAAGCUAAAUAUUGGCCAGAGACCGAUAGCGCACAAGUAGAGUGAUCGAAAGAUGAAAAGCACUUUGGAAAGAGAGUUAAACAGUACGUGAAAUUGUUGAAAGGGAAGCGCUUGCAACCAGACUUGCACUCAGCUGAUCAUCUGGUGUUCUCACCAGUGCACUCGGUUGUGUUCAGGCCAGCAUCGGUUUCGGUGGUUGGAUAAAGGCCUUGGGAACGUAGCUCCUCUCGGGGAGUGUUAUAGCCCUCGGUGCAAUGCAGCCUACCGGGACCGAGGACCGCGCUUCGGCUAGGAUGCUGGCGUAAUGGUUGUAAGCGACCCGUCUU
rnacentral:rRNA from 1 species